rfam:Triticum aestivum genome assembly, contig: Triticum_aestivum_CS42_TGACv1_scaffold_222581_3B
CUUAUACUCUCUCCGCCGAAAAUGCUUGUCCCUCAAAUGGUUGUAUCUAGCACCAAGUUAGUGCUAGAUAUAUCCAUUUGAGGGACAAGCAUGGGACAAACUUUUUCGGGCGGAGGGAGUAUAUG